AGAGUUUGAUCAUGGCUCAGAACGAACGCUGGCGGCAGGCUUAACACAUGCAAGUCGAACGGUUGUAGCAAUACAGCAGUGGCAGACGGGUGAGUAACACGUGGGAACCUUCCUAGGGGUACGGAACAACUCAGGGAAACUUGAGCUAAUACCGUAUACGUCCGUGAGGAGAAAGAUUUAUCGCCCUUAGACGGGCCCGCGUCGGAUUAGCUAGUUGUGGGGUAACGGCCUACCAAGGCGACGAUCCGUAGCUGAUCUUAGAGGAUGAUCAGCCACACUGGGACUGAGACACGGCCCAGACUCCUACGGGAGGCAGCAGUGGGGAAUCUUGGACAAUGGGCGCAAGCCUGAUCCAGCCAUGCCGCGUGAGUGAAGAAGGUCUUCGGAUUGUAAAGCUCUUUUGCCAGGGACGAUAAUGACGGUACCUGGAGAAUAAGCCCCGGCAAACUUCGUG
rnacentral:rRNA from 1 species